rnacentral:rRNA from 1 species
AAUACAUGCAAGUCGUGGGGCAGCAUGAGUAGCAAUACUUGAUGGCGGACCGGGCAAACGGGUGAGGAACACGUACACAACCUUCCUUCGAAGCGGGGAAUAGCCCAGAGAAAUUUGGAUUAAUACCCAUAAUAUAUUUGAUAAGGCAUCUUAUUAAUAUUAAAGCUUCGGCACUUGAUGAUGGGUGUGCGGCUGAUUAGAUAGUUGGCGGGUAACGGCCCACCAAGUCUACGAUCAGUAGCUGAUGUGAGAGCAUGAUCAGCCACACGGGCACUGAGACACGGGCCCGACUCCUACGGGAGGCAGCAGUAAGGAAUAUUGGACAAUGGACGAAAGUCUGAUCCAGCCAUGCCGCGUGAAGGAUUAAGGUCCUCUGGAUUGUAAACUUCUUUUAUAUGGGACGAAAAAAGGGCAUUCUUGUUCACUUGACGGUACCAUAUGAAUAAGCACCGGCUAACUCCGUG